GCCUGGAUGGCUCAGUCGGUUGAGCGUCCGACUUCAGCUCAGGUCACGAUCUCACGGUUCGUGAGUUCGAGCCCCGCGUCAGGCU
rnacentral:tRNA from 1 species